rnacentral:rRNA from 1 species
AAACCCAAAAGAUCGAAUGGGGAGAUUCAUCGCAAGCGUGGCUGGCUUCCGUGUGGUUCGCGAUGGCCGGGACCUCGGUCUCGCGUCACGCGUCCGCUGCGGUAUGUCCGGCUACGUCGGCGUGCACUUCUCCCCUAGUAGGACGUCGCGACCCGUUGGGUGUCGGACCGAUGGCCGUUUGGUCGCCUGUCUCGUCGCGUUUACGCGUGCACGAGGCAGACCGAAAUGGUCGAGCGUCCGGCUGCCCGGCGGUAUAGAACGCUAUUGAACGGUAAUGAGCCGCAUUAAGUGCGUUCAGGCUCGUCGGCAGGCUCGUCUCGCCCGGAUUUACGGACCUAGCGCCGUUGCCGGGUGCUUGGCGUGGCCGUUAGUCGACGAUGUCCUCGGACUGGCUCUAAAAUUCGAAAGGAUUACCGGUCGGCGACGCUACUGCUUU